AACGAACGCUGGCGGCAGGCUUAACACAUGCAAGUCGAGCGCCCCGCAAGGGGAGCGGCAGACGGGUGAGUAACGCGUGGGAAUCUACCCAUCUCUACGGAAUAACGCAUGGAAACGUGUGCUAAUACCGUAUACGUCCUUCGGGAGAAAGAUUAUCGGAGAUGGAUGAGCCCGCGUUGGAUUAGCUAGUUGGUGGGGUAAAGGCCUACCAAGGCGACGAUCCAUAGCUGGUCUGAGAGGAUGAUCAGCCACACUGGGACUGAGACACGGCCCAGACUCCUACGGGAGGCAGCAGUGGGGAAUAUUGGACAAUGGGCGCAAGCCUGAUCCAGCCAUGCCGCGUGAGCGAUGGAGGCCCUAGGGUUGUAAAGCUCUUUCACCGGUGAAGAUAAUGGCGGUAACCGGAGAAGAAGCCCCGGCUAACUUCGUGCCAGCCGCCGCUGUAACAC
rnacentral:rRNA from 1 species